AUGCCCAAGAGGAAAGUCAGCUAAACAGAGGUGGAAGUCAAAGUGAAGAAAGAGUCAAAGAGGAAGACAGGCAUGGUUGUCAGCUAAACCUGCUCCUGAAAAGUGGAAAUGAAGUCAAAAAAGGCAGCAGGAAAGUACAAACAGGGCCAGGUACAGUGGCUCACACCUGUAAUGCCAGCAGAGGUCAGGGCAGGCAGAUCGCUUGAGCCCAGGAGUUCAAGACCAGCCUGGGCAACAUGGCGAAACCCUGUCUAGACAAAAAAUUACAAAAAUUAGCUUUCAUAUAUGUGUAUAUAUAUUUGUAUAUAUAUUUGUAUAUAAAUAUAUAUUUGUAUAUAAAUUUGUAUAUAAAUAUUUAUAGAUACAUAUAUAUAUAUAUACACACACACAUAUAUACAUGUAAAAGGUAUAAAGAAAAGGGAAAAGGGGAGCAAAGAGAAAAGAGGCUGAUCAGGCUAACCAAAAAACUAUAGAUUUACCUGCAGAAAAUGGACAAAGCAAAACCAAGAAGAGUCCAGCUUCUGGUGAAGCCGGAGAAAAAGAAGCCAAGUCU
rnacentral:lncRNA from 10 species